rnacentral:rRNA from 1 species
CACGUAGGGCGCAAGCGUUGUCCGGAAUUAUUGGGCGUAAAGAGCUCGUAGGCGGUCUGUCGCGUCGGUCGUGAAAACGUUGGGGCUUAACCCUGAGCUUGCGGUCGAUACGGGCAUGACUGGAGUUCGGCAGGGGAGACUGGAAUUCCUGGUGUAGCGGUGAAAUGCGCAGAUAUCAGGAGGAACACCGGUGGCGAAGGCGGGUCUCUGGAACGGUACUGACGCUGAGACGCGAAAGCGUGGGGAGCGAACAGG